UAUUUCUGUUUUUUUUUUUUUUUUUUUUUUGGACAGAUAAUUUGCAACAGAACAAUUAUUGUCGGUGAGAUGGAAAUAGAUGAAACAACAAACCCAGAAAAAUCUCAUACUCAUCUUCGAUCUGAAAAUAAAAAACGAAAUACUGCUUAGAUCGAGCUUUUUCGUUGCUAUUUAUCAAGUUUCUAACACAGAUUCCGAAUUAUAGAAACAGGUAAGCUUUUGAUUGAUUCAAUUUUGUAGAACCUUUUAUUUUUUUCCAAUUUGUCGAUUUGAUUUCCAGUUUGUGAAACUCUCUGUUUGAAUAGAUUCAUUGGGAGAUGACUGUGAAGAACCCAAGCUUGUGAGUAAGUUUCAAACCAAAUAAUUUUGAUUUCAAUAAUUUUUAUACACAAAUCACAAAUUGAUGUCCUGUGUUUUUGAAAAUUUACAAAGUAAUUAAAUCUAUCUAUAUAAAUCUUCAGAGCCAUGAUUGUAAAGAUUUCAUAAUUGGUUUGUAUAUAGAUUUGAACAAUCGAUUUUGGUUCCUGAAAUAUAUUAACAUCAUGUCGUUGCUAAAAUGAUUUCAGAUAAUAACAUAGAUGAUGAUGUUGCCAAAAGAAGAUGAUUUAGAAAGAUAAGUUGUUCAUACAAUUAUUACUAUUGCAUAGGAUCAAGAUAUGUGUAAUGAUAUAGAUUAGAAAGAUUCUAUUUCAUAAGUAGUAAUAUGAUGAGAAUCAUAUAUUUAAAAGCUAAGUAUUGUUACUAUAUGCGCAGAUUAAGGAAAUAAAUCAUGCAAUCAAGAUUGACUGAUGAUUUCGGAUCUUUUCCCAAUUACAUAAGGUAUAUUCUGAUAUGAAAAUUUAUAUCAAUGUCUAUUUUUACUCUAACUAUACAAUAUAUAACAGUUAGAUAUAUUGCUUAGCUUAACAUUUAUGAGUAAAAUUUAGGAGAGGUUAUUGGUUCAUUGAUUUAUAAGGAAUUAGAAAUCCAAACAAAAAUCAUUUGUUAUUCAAUCAUUGAUUUUAAAAUCCUAAUUAAAAUCAUGUGUUAUUGGUUCUAUGAUUUAUAAAUACUAGUUAAAAUCCUAUGUUAUUAGUUUAGUCAUUUGUUUUUGGAUUUGAGAAUCCAAAUUAUGUUUUAAAUGGAUUUGUAUGGAAUUGAAAGAGAAAAAUAGAAGGAUUCAAAUCCAUGGGUAAACACAUGUUAUUUCAAAAUCUAUAUAUCUUGAUUUCAUAAUUAAUAGAAAUUUCCAAAUCCUAUAUGAAUUUACAAAUUAAUAAACCAAUAACACCCCCUUAGUUUUUAGAAAACUUACUUAAAUUUAGGGUGGCUGCUAAUAAAACUUUAUAUGGAAAACAGAGUAAAAUAGAGAUUAAAUUCAAAAGAAACAAAUAGAGUAGGUUUAAGUCGAUUACAAAAUGAGUUUUUCAUACCAAAAGGAAGUUUUUAAAAAGACAGAGUUCAUCUCCUCUAAAAAUGUAAAAAGAAACAACAAAAACUAAGAGAAACUGAUAAUCCUUGCACAUCCAAUCCAUCCUUUCUUCAUAUGUUAGUUCUCAUCAACCAUCUCCAUCAUCACAUCUUCUUCGUCACUUGAUCCAUCUUCAAAUGAUCGCCUGCAUAAAAACAUAUGGUUUAUGUUUACCUAGGCUAUGAAUCUAAACCAAAAUAUAACACAAUUAUAAAGAAUUUUUAACUUACAGAUAACUUUGAAUGUCAAGUUCAUAAAAGAUUGGAUCAAUGUAUAGACGUGAACAGCCAUAUUCACUCAUUAAAACAUUGUUUCCUAUAGACAAAUAAAAUACAGUCAAUGUAACUAAUAAAAUUGCAAAGUCAUUUCAUAAAACUAUCAUAAGAACCUACCAUAGUAAGAGGAGAUUCUCCAGAAACACAAGACUACAACAAUCUUAUCAUAGUUGUAGUUUAUUCCGCUAAUUUUCUGAGACCAAGUGUUCACAAAGAACUCACACCACUUUCCCACAGCAACGCAUUUUAUUGUCUCCCCCCUAGAUUAAAAGUUUAAUUUCCAAACAAAAAGAAUAGUCAAUCCAAAUUCAUUUUAAUAAGUUAAGAACAGCCAUUGAAAUUCUUUCUCAAAAGGGAAACUAAACUUACACAUUAUUUUUAAUUUUGAAGCAGACAUAGCGAGAUUCAUAGUCUGUUUCCCCUCUGCGACACACAUAUGGAAACCUUCCGAUGGUGGAAACAGCAGACAGAGAUAACUCCCAUAGCAUCUAAGCAAAAAUAACAGAGAAAUGGUCAUAUAAGUCUUCAAAUAGAAUAAAUCUUGGUAUAAAACAUUUAAUUUCACAAAUUAUUACCAUAGACAGAGUUUUUAUCAUCUUCAUGAGCAUUUCUGACAGUAUCAGGCCAAACAAAGUUCCAGAAAUUGCUCCAGGUCUUAGAUCUAACAGGCCACAUUGUAGUUUCUCUCAUAAACCUAACCUGAAGUGGCAGAGUUGAAUAUCUGACUUGGUUUGGAGGUAUGAUGACUUGAAAGUCAGACAUGUAGUACCAAACGUCUUGUUUGAGUCCUGGCUGAAAGUUCCAAAGGUAGUAACCUUGUGGAAUUGUUGCGUCCAUAUAAUUCCCCUAUACAAAGGAAACAAACAAAUUAGAUAAGUAGUUUUCCAACCCUAGAACAUGAUUUUAAAAAGGUGUAAAACAGAACAAUAGAAUUAGAAACAAACCUUCUCAUAUGCGAGAAUCAUUGUAGUUAUAUCACCAUUGAAAGGAGGGUUAUGAUGCCAGAUACUCAUUGUCUUAACAUAAACCCUCCACUUGGUAGAGUGUCUUCGCAAAUCAGAGAGAAAGUGCAUUUUCUCCAUAGUUUCUUAAAGAUUUUGUUUUGCUUUCAACAGGGAAGAUAUCUCUGUAAAUCUAAAAUCUCUCAACGCAUAUAUAUAGAGAUAUUGGUUAAGAGACGCAAAGGAUUAAAAUAAAAUGAAAAGGAAACUGAAUCGUUAAUAGAAUAUAUAAAAUAUACUAAAUUUGAAAAGCCUGAUGCGAAUCAUUGCUAAUUAUUACAAAAGUAUACAGUUUUCAUUUUUCAAGAUACACGCAACGAUUUAGAUUUGUCUAGAUUGUGUAAACUGUCAAAUAUGGAAGUUUCUUUAGUUUUUGUUAAAAAUGAUUGAUUUUAUAUAUUAUAGAAUAUAUAAGUAAAUAUGAAUUUAAAUAAUAGAAUAUUAUAUUGAUAUAUAAUAAAAAUUAAAACUAUAAACUUUAUAUUGGUACAUAUUUAUGUUUUCAUGAAUAAAGAGUAAGAAUAUUUAGCUAUUGUUACUCUUUCUGAAUUAGUAGCAAUAUUUAGCUAUUGUUACUCUUUAUUUAACAUCAUUUUGCUAUUUGUUUGUAACAAUUAUAUAUGGUGCUGAUGAUAGAUAAUUCUAUUUUUACAGACCAGGCAACAUCUUUAAAGAAGGCAAAUUUGAUGUCGUUUCAAGCCAGUCCAGAUUCUGAAAGCAUUGAUAAAGGUUAGUGAUGUCUAAAUGAUUCAACUUUGGUGUAAUCAAAUCCCAAUAUUUAGCUACUGUUAGUUGUUUAUCUUUCUGAAUUAGUAUACUUGUUAUGAAUUGAUUUUGAUUUAUCUCUUUUUGAUUUCUUGAUCUUGUUUAUAAAUUGAUUUUGAUAAAUUUAGAUCCACACUUAAAUAUGCACUUAUCGUGAUGUGUCAAUUGUUUGUCUAAAAAUAUUUUUCUAAAUAUUCUGUUGACAUGUAUGUUUAAUUCUGCAUUUGAUUGAUAAGAUAUUAAGUAAUGCUACUUGUUUAUAUGAAUUAACAGAAUAUUUAGAUUCUGUGCAAGAUUUUUGAAUUAGUAAAUUUGUAAUAGUUUACCUAUUUGUACUUAAUAUUUUGUAAACGUAAAUGAAAACUUUUGUAAAACAAAGUUAUGCUGAUAUUAAUAAUAGAAGUUUAUGAAUUUGUGUUCAAAGAGAAUUGAGAGAAUAACAGACCAAGUGUGGUAAAAUAAUCUCUUCAAUGGAAGUCGUAGAUUGAAGAGAUUACCACCAAAUUUCCAUUUCCAUACCAGCUUCUACAUGUUCAGACAACCAAUAAGAAAUUAGUAAAGUGUAACAGGUGACAAUAAUAAUCAGUUUUUAUUGAUUGUUACCUCUGAAACCAAAUGUCUUUUGCAAUGUGUAACCUUAUAGGUUUUGAAAGACUUCCUUAAACACCACAUUCAACGUUUCCUUCUGCGGCUUUCCUUCUUUGUCCACUAUGAGUAUCUUCAGUCCUUUUUUAGAAGUUACCCUAGAGAUAGCUACAUAGAGUUGGCCAUGAGAAAAGCAUGGCCUUGGUAGAUAGAUGCCAACCUUAUUCAAAGAUUGUCCCUGACUUUUAUUAAUGGUCAUAGCAAAAGCAACUGCUAUUGGAAGUUGUCUUCGAUGCAUUUUAAACGGAAGUUUAGUAUCAGAUGGAGAUAUCAAUAUCCUGGGAAGGAGGACUUUAUCUCCAACUUAUCACCUGUAAUAAUGACAGCCUCAAUGACAACCAACUUUCAACCUUAUACCAUGAUUUGGCAAUCCAGAUAUCUUUAGACCGUUCAAAAACUCUGAUGUCAACACGGGAUUGUUUGUACCUCCAAUGUCAGAAGGAUCAACAGAAUCUGAACUUAGGUAUAGUUGUUCAUCACCUAAAAAUAAUUUAAAAUGUCUUUAUAAUACAUCAUAUCAAAAUAUAAAAAGCCUAAAACAUUAAGAGUACUGGAGACUAACCUUCGAGUUGAUCAAGCAUAUAAUCGUUGACAAUACCCACAUCUUCAUUGGUUGGACAUAAAAUAGCCCUUUGUUGGAAAAAUACAGGAUCGGUUUCAUCCUUCAAUAACUUAGGAUCUCCAUAAACUUCCCUGCUUAUUGCCUCAAUUGGAUUAUCAGCGUUUGUGAUCAAAAACUCUUCUGGAAUUUCUAUCAUCACUUCUCCAUCAUUAGGUUGUGCUAUCUUACCAUCACCAACUGCUAGAAUCCACUCUGAAAAUUCUUUUAUAUCAUUAGCCUCACUUGGACUCAAAUCCUUUGAAAGUAGCCUCAUAUUUUUCGUGAGCUUCAAGACUUUGCAAUGAGUCCAAAGAUAAGAAGCAUUAAGUGCAGCCAUACAAAUUUCUGCUCUCGCAGCACCAUGUAUCACAGGUAGUACCUGUCUGAAAUCUCCACCAAAAACAACUACUUUGCCACCAAACGGUUUGUUUCCACCACCUUUAAAAAUGUCUUUGAAACUCCUAUCCAUAGAUUCAAAACAAUGCUUACUCAUCAUUGGAGCUUCAUCCCAAAUUAUCAAAGACGCUUCUUCUAUUAAUUCUGCCUAAUUUGAACCUUUCUCAAUAUUACAUACAGCGAAGUCGUCUGGAUUUAUUGGAAUCCCAAACCGAGAGUGUGCGGUUCUCCCACCAGGUAACAAUAGAGAAGCAAUGCCGCUGGAAGCAACAUUUAGCACAAUAGAACCUCUAGAUCUUACAGAAGCUGAGAGUGUCGUAUAUAUAAAAGUUUUACCAUUUCCACCAAAGCCAUAGACAAAGAAGACACCUCCCUUUUCAUUAUCAACAGCAUUGAUGAUCUCUAAAUAAACACUCUUCUGCUCAUCUGUCAUUUUCUGCAACGAUUCUUCUAGUUUUUCCUUCUGUUCAUUGCGAUCGUAGUUUUUUUCGUCAAGUAUCAAGACAUUACUAUCAUCAAUUUCCUCAUCAGGUAACUGAGGCAUUGUUCUGAAACCUGUUAGAGAUGUUCCAUUGCUUCGUAAGAUGCUAUUGAUUUCUUUUAAAGCCAAAAUCUGUUUUUGCUCGUCCGUAAGUGUUAGUUUUGUGUCCCAAAAAAUAUUUUAAAAAACAGUGUUAUUUGCCAGACAGAAUAAUCAUGACUAAAAUUACUUAAAAUUGCAAAAUAACAACUCUUUAAACCAACCAAAGAGACUAAAUUAUUUGAUCAAAAAUUACCUGGUCUUUUAAAGUACUCUCUCCGUUUUCUUUCGAUGUCUUCUGAUAGAAGUUCCCAUGUUUUUUCCCAAACAACUUCUGGUUGAGAUAAGCGGGUAGACUGGAGCAUUACAACAAACAUAAAACGCAAGUAGUUUCCAGUAGCCCAAAAACUGGUUGUCUUUAUUGUAUCAAUAUACUCCUGGUCAUCGUCUAGCAAACCCAGAGCAUAACAUGUCUCCUUGAACGAUUUGUACACCACACCAUUCACUGUUUUGAUGUCUUCAAAACUUUCAGGUCCAGUUUGAUGAUUUAGUAGCACUCUUAAAUAAUAACCUUCCUCAUAAAUUAGUGGGACAUAAUUAAUCCUUCCGAUUGUUUUCCCUGGUCGCUUCCUCAUAUUGAAAGUUCUUGUUUUACCAUCCCAAGUAUAAUAUUCCGGAAUCUGAGUAUAUGUGAGACCUUUGGCUUUAGGACACCACUUGUUCAAUUCAAACCAAGCAAGAAACAUCGAAUUCUGUAAUUCUGAACGUUUCAAAACUGUUUUCACCUCAUCAUCAGCUUUAAAAUAUAAUAGUUGUUUGCCUGGUAGAUGGAAGGAUAAUCUUUGAACAGAAGUUGACCUAUAAUGUAUAGGAUUUUUCAAGAUUCUCCAUCCAGCUUCACAUGCUGAUACAUAUCUGAUACAAUAUCAUAAAACAUGUUUUAGUUAGAAAUGAGUUAAACAUCUAUACUAUUUACGAAAAUUGAAAACGAAUUUAUACCUGCAAUUAAAGAAGUCUUGUAUUUCAUUUUUACGUGUGCCUCCACUGGUUGAACUAUCAGACUUCUCUUAGUAGUUGUAGUCUUUGUAGACUUUUCAUUAGGCUCAACAACCACUGAAACUCUAUCCAUCCCUUUAGUGAUAUACUUGAAUAAAUACUUGAUAGAGCCAGUUUGGUUACACCACUCAACAUUAAUAUGAGCUCUGUAGCGAAGCAGCAACUUCUUGUUAUAGGGUAUAACAUAUCCGUUGUCACACUUAAAUCCACACUUCUCCACAAACAGCUUUGUCUUUCUUCUUCUGUACAAAGGGAAACCUUCUUUAUCAACCUUAGUAUGUUCUCUAAGUUUUUUUGGGAAAAACUUUGAACAUUUGCCUUCAAGCAUACAUGGUGAACUCUGGUUGACGACGCCACAUGGUCCAUGAAUCAUCAUGUCUUUAACGACCUCAUAAAGUUCUGGUUCUUUAUUCUUGUCAGGAAUUUCCGCAGAAAUGAUUUUAUCAAUGUCUUCUGGUUUUGGAAAUUUAGAACUUGGAUGCAUCCAUAUCAAUAUAUGUGCAUGGGGAAGACCUCUUUUCUGGAACUCAAUUGUAUACAUUGCUUCGAGAUUAACAUGAGAAAAUAAUAUUAGGUAAACGAUAUUUUUAAAAAUAGCAGAAACAGAUACUUAAAUUGUAGACUGUAAACGCAACUAUUAAAAUAAAUCACUUACAUGAAACAGUCUUCCCCAAUAUAUGUUUCUUCGUUAAAUCAUCCAUUAGAGAAUUCAGCUUCAUUUUGAACAUUCUGCUUAUGAUCUCUGGCCUAUCAUCGGAAUUACAAUUUCUCUCAGUACAGAAUCUUACCAGCUCAGGCCAUUUUGGAUUGCAUGUGAACGUAAUGAAUAGGUCAGGAAAUCCAUAAUGAUUACAUGUAGACAUUGCAUCCAUGUACAUGUUCUUCAUGUAUCUUGGCCCACCAACAAAAGUAGCUGGUAGAUAAAAUGCUUUUCCUUCUUCAUUCAUAUCUGUCUUUCCUUCUGUUGCCGCCUCUUUAACUGAAUCAUAGUUCGAAGCUCGUAAACUUGACUGAUUCAGUUUAAUAUAUUUGAGCCUAUUAGCUUCUAUCACUACAAGAAAACAGGCGAUUACCGACUACGGUCGGCGACUAAUUGUGUAGUCGCUAAUUUAUACGACUAAAAUACGACUACUCUGCGACUAAUGUUACGACUACAAGUAUAUAGUCGUAUAAUAGUCGCUAAUUAACGACUACAUACUGUAGUCAUUAAAAUAGUCGUAAUAUAGCGACUAUUAUACGACUAACAUAUAAGACCCCGACUAUAGUCGUAUCGUAGUCGCUAAAUAGGCGACUAUUUUGAAUGACUAUUGAUUGUAGUCGCUAAAUAGGCGACUACUUUAUGACUACAUUGCAUACGGAAAAAAAUAGUCACAAAAAAGUCGCUAAUUUGGUGACUAAUAUGUGACUACAAAACAUAGUCACCUUAUGGUGGUUUUGUAGUCACUAUUUAGUCUCCAUAACUGUUUAUAUAAUCAAACUUCACCAUUUUUUCUAAAACCUAAAUACAAAACUUUAAAUCUCAAAAUUCAAAAAAAUUAUCUAGUUACAAUAAUAUAUCCAUAAACUGAAAACUAACACUUAUAAAAAUUAUAGUUUUCCAAAUCUUAUUUUUAAUCAAAACUUAACCCCAAAUCUUAAACUUAAACCCCAAAUCCUAUACUUCAAACCCUAAACUUAACUACUAAAUUCCUUUAACGACUAUUUAACUACUAAAUUCCGACUAAGAAAAAUAACUAGGCUAAUGGAUCCAGCGAAACCAAGCCCAACUAAAACGAAGUCGGCCCAGGCCCAACUAAACUCACCUCCACCCCGAGAAUUCCUAAGUCAUCUUCCUCUUUCGCAAACCCUAAGUCAUCUUCCUCAUUCUUCUUCUCGAUUCUUACUCUUUCUCUCAAACAAAUUAAACACUAAUUCCUCGAUUCUUCCUCUUCCGCUUCCUCAAAUCGAACCCUAAUCUCCAUUUCUUCCCCAAAACAUCCUCAAAUCAAACCCUAAUUCCUCGAUUCGCGAAGCAAUUCGUCUGACCCUUCGUCUCUUCACUCUGUUUCCUGCAAAUCCGGAACAAGAUGACUGGUAAGCAAGGCCGGAAGAGAAGAAAUGCUCCCAACGCGUCUCAGAGAGCCGUUGGUUCCACCGCUGCAAACCGUAGACCUAAAAAUCUGCGCCUCGUCAGCGACGGCGUCCACAACAAACGCCUCAACACCGACAGCCUCUUUCUCCGCAGCAGGAUCCUCCUCUGUCUCCACAGCAGGAUCCUCCUCCGUCUCCACAUCCGAACUCUGAGGCUCAGAGUCACGCGUUUGGCUGUUCCUCUCAAGGUAACAACUUCCAAAACGAAUUGCCGGAUCUCCAGGAGGAUACGCUUGAGGCUCUGACUGCUCUGCUUAUGGUGCCGGACCGUCAUCUGUUUACAACCGACACCGUUGCCAGACCCGACGUGGUAUGACUCUUGGUCCCUUCUAUAGUGGUUUUUUCUGAUUGCUUUGUGUGUUUUAGGAUAGAAGAAGUCUGAUUGUUUUCAAAAUGUUUAGUGUGUUUGACUGUUUGCUUGUUCUUAUUGUUUUGUGUGGCUUAGGAUAGAAGUCUGAUUGUGUGUCUGUCUUAGGAUAGAUUGUUUUUAAGAAGUCUGAUUCUUUGUUUGAUUGUUUUAAAAAGAAGUCUGAUUGGUUGAAUGUUAAAAAGAAGUCUGAUUGUGUGAUGUCGUAUCAGUCUUCAUGCUGUGUUUGAGAUGUUAUCACAUAUGUUGCAGGUUUGAUUGGGACGAGAAAUCAAGACUGGUAAGGAGGAUUACCAAAGUUUUUACAAACAAUUAUGUGUAUAAUUGCUUAAAUGUAGUUUUGUUUAAUCACUUAGGACUUGUUCAAGAGGCACAUGGUCGUGUUUGCAGUUGGAACUUCUUUAGCAUCUGUUGCUACUGCUUGGAUUGGUAAGUUUUGAUAUUUGCUUACUUUAUCUCGAUUUCUCUUGUAGGCUAAGGAUUGGACAUCUUUUUCCAUCUGACCAAUAAAUUUACAUAUGUUUCUCUGGAUAAUGUAGAUAUUCAAGUUCUUGAUUGUGAUGUCCGGAGAUUAAGUUGCCUAAAUGAUGCUUGCUUAAGAACUGUUUUGGCGUAUCUCGUCAAGUUCUUUGCUGUUUUAAUUUCAGCUCAUAUUGAUAUAGCCUUUGAUGCUUUGGUCUUAUGUGUGUUUGUAUUGUAGAGUUGGAUAAUAGAAAUAACCAUGAGGCAGUUUUUGGAGCAGAAAAAGCAUGAAAGAGUAAGACAAGGAAGAAGAAUUGAAAUCAAAAGAGUUAAUUAAGCCAAGUUCUUUCUUAAAAAUUGUUAUCUGCUUUGUGUUAAUUAUGUUUUUAGGAGGAUGAUGUAAUUUUAUUUUCAAUAAUGUUUUUAGUUUUAUUUGUAAUAUGGUUUUCUUUUAAAUGUAUAAUUUUUAUUACUAAUAGCAGUACCUUCCAAAAACAUAUUAUAAAAUAAUUAGUAAAAAUAUUUAAAUACCUAAAUACUGUAUAAAUACAUAAAUACUGUAUAAAUACAUAAAUAUUGUAUAAAUACAUAAAUACUGUAUAAAUAAAUACAAUACUGUAUAAAUAUAUAAAUACAUAAUUAAGACCAAAGUCACAAUAUAGUCGUCAAUUAGUCACUAAAUUUGGCGACUACUGUACGACUACAUUUACGACUACGAAUAUUAGUCGUAAAGUAGUCGCUAAAUGGCGACUAAUUUAACGACUAUUAAUUUUAGCGACUCUCGAUUUACGACUACACGUUUUAGUCGCUAUUUAGUCGUAACCCACCAUUUAGCGACUAUUUAGCGACUUUUAGUGUAGUCGCUAAAAUCCAGUUUUCUUGUAGUG
rnacentral:lncRNA from 1 species